rnacentral:rRNA from 1 species
GACGAACGCUGGCGGCGCGCUUAACACAUGCAAGUCGAACGGUUAAACCGCCCUCGGGCGGAAAUACAGUGGCGAACGGGUGAGUAACACGUGACCAACCUGCCCCCUCCUCCGGGACAACCUCGGGAAACCGAGGCUAAUACCGGACGCUCCCGCCAGGCCGCAUGGCCCGGCGGGGAAAGCCCAGGCGGGAGGGGAUGGGGUCGCGGCCCAUCAGGCAGACGGGGGGGUGACGGCCCACCGUGCUUACGACGGGUAGCCGGGCUGAGAGGCCGGCCGGCCACACUGGGACUGAGAUACNGCCCAGACUCCUACGGGAGGCAGCAGUGGGGAAUUUUGCGCAAUGGGGGAAACCCUGACGCAGCGACGCCGCGUGCGGGAGGAA